AUUUCUACUUGAAGAGUGCCUUCUUCAGGAGUUUCUAGCAAACCUUGAUUCUCAGAAUCAGUAAAGAAAAUUUAUGUCUGGAUCAUCAGAAAGUUUAGCUGCGUUUUUCCAGGAUCACAGAUGGGCUUUUAAAUCAAUGCCUCAUUGGUGACUCAAAUGUGAAUCUUGUCUCUGACAUUCAGUUUUCUGGCAAAGGCUGCAGGGGAGAAUCUCCACACAUAAUGAAUGUGGCAAAACAGGUGCUGCAUCAGGAGGGGGAAGGAAGAAGUCUCCUAAAAAGUUUUGUUCUUACUCUGUGUCAGGGCUAAGGAUUUACAGAAGAGGUUUCAAAUGCAAGAGGAAGAAAACCGUUGAAAAUCAAGUACAGCUCUGUGACUCUACAAAUCUUCACCUGUUACAGCAUACCCUCCUCCUUAUAGAAAUAGCCUUCAUCAGCAGAUAGCUGAAAAGAGCAACUUAGGUGCAUGGAACAGUAUGUGGGAAGUGUCUUGUGCUCUUUUCAUUUUAAAGACUCUGAGGCUCACAUUUCAUAUACUGCUGCUUUUAGAAUCACAGUUGUUAACACUCUGGGACUUUUCAGUGAUAGGGAAUUGUGUCACUUAGGUUUCUGAUAGCAAGACUAGAGAAUUCAAGAGUAAAAAUUUAGAUGCAAGGAAAUAUCCUUCAGAAAGACUGUGCCACUUCCAGAUGUUUAUGCUGUUGAAGGAGAAAAAUAUCAGAGAGAGAACUUUUGAUCAGAACAAUCAUUCUGAGCUUAAAAACUGAUGCGUGUAUAUUAAUUCUUAAGAAAUGAAGAAAAUUAGUAUUGGAGAAAUCCCCCCCCUGUAGUAGGUGCUAGUGGAAUUGAGAAAUGGCAAAUUGGUAUCAUAUUAGGUAGUGCAGAGGCAGUGAAGUGGAGACUCGUGAAGAAUACAAGCUCAGUCUUACCAUGAAGUCAAGAAUGCUAUGCCAGUUUGAUUGGUGUUAGAAUUCAAGUAAGUUCUUAGUGCUGCCACAGCAGAAUCUUUCAAUAGUGCUUAAUGCAAAUCUCCUGCUCAGCAAGUCUCCCUGGAUUAGAAGACAGGUUUCUGAUCCACUGCUGAACUAUGCAAAUGUGGUUAAAUAAUGGAACUGAAUAUCAUGAAAUAUCAAGGGAAUCUUUGGUAUCUCUUCUGAUCAACUCAUUCACCAUUAUUAAACAUUCACAUAGUUUUCAGUGCCUCUUUCUCAUCUGCUAGCUAGAUCACUAUGAAGCAACAAGACAUCUUCAUCCCCCUUUCUGAACCAAAGUCUUAGUAGUACAAUGCCUGGCUGUCAGUGUGUCAGGCUGAACUGGGAACUAGCACUUGGGAGCAGGGUUGGUGAUGCUCUAGAACUAAUAUAAGCAGUUAAAAGUCAAGACUGAUAGAGCAAUUUUCUAAUUAGUCGUAAUGUUGAGAUUCUGUUUAAUUGCUUCAAUAUUCAGAUGAGCAAAAUGUACCUGAUGUACCAAGGUACAGAGCAGUGAGUGCACUCAUUACCAUUGUGCUUUGAUAUAUGGAUCAAAGGCUUCUUGCAUCUAGAGAUGUAAGCUGCCAUUGAAGUCUAUACUAAACAUCUGCUUGAUCGUGUGCAACUGAUUGUUUUAUGUUUCGUGUGUUUCAGGAGUGCAUUUAAGGACCAAGCUUACUCAGUGUUUAUUGGUAUGAUGAUAUGAAUAACUGCUAUACUAUUGAAGUCAGCAACAUGAGGACUGCUUAUCAGCCUCAGAGAAAAAGUUAUAUUAGAGGAAUAGAGAAUAUCCAUGACUUUAUGCUUCAUCCAUCCACACGUUAAAGUAAAAUACGCAGAGCAAUUCUACAUAUAUUAUUCCUUUGAAAAACGGAAUUGAAAUAUAUGCAGAUGUAUUUACCAUAUAUUUCCUCAUGUAUUUAUCCUAUCUGUGUGAAAAGAAGCCUUAGGCAUCUUCCAAAUUAAGGAAAAGUUAAUGAG
ensembl:lncRNA